rnacentral:rRNA from 1 species
CAGCACCGCGGGAACACGGAGGGUGCAAGCGUUAUCCGGAUUCACUGGGUUUAAAGGGUGCGUAGGCGGAUCUGUAAGUCAGUGGUGAAAUCUCCAGGCUUAACCUGGAAACUGCCGUUGAUACUAUAGGUCUUGAAUUUUGUGGAGGUUAGCGGAAUAUGUCAUGUAGCGGUGAAAUGCAUAGAUAUGACAUAGAACACCAAUUGCGAAGGCAGUUGGCUACACAACUAUUGACGCUGAGGCACGAAAGCGUGGGGAUCAAACAGGAUUAGAUACCCCAGUAGUCCCUGUCUCUUAUACC